rnacentral:lncRNA from 1 species
UGGUAUGCAGGCACAGAAUGCAGAUAUGAUGCAGAUGAUGCGUCAAAUGCAACAGCAACAGGACGCUCGGAAUGCCAUAACCGACCAGCGGUUUACUGAAUUGUUCAACAGGUUCGACAACUUAGACAUACGUCAAAGAUCACCAGGUCCAAGAACCAGAGGCGGAAGGCAACCUUAGUUGUUAUUUUCUUUUUUUUUCCUUUCCAUCUUGUAUUUCACUUCCUUAAAACAUUGAGGACAAUGUUUAGUUUAAGUAUGAGGGGGAAACAAUAUUCUUUCCAUUCUCAGUUUUUUUUCAAGUAUGUUAUUUUCCCUUUCAUUGUUAUUUCCCCUUCUUAUUAUGAAAAAAAAACAAAAAAAACAAAAAAAACAAAAAACAAAAAAAAAAAAACAAAAAUUAUUAUUAUAAUAUAUAUUUAUUUUAAGUUAAGUUCCUAAGUGUGAAAAUUUUCUAUUAUCUAUUCCCCUCAA